rnacentral:rRNA from 1 species
AUUGAACGCUGGCGGCGUGCCUAACACAUGCAAGUCGAACGAGUGGCGGACGGGUGAGUAAUGUCUGUGAAACUGCCUGAUGGAGGGGGAUAACUACUGGAACCGGUAGCUAAUACCGCAUACCGUAGGAGGUGGCCAGAGGGGAUUAGCUGGUUGGUGGGGUGAGGGUGCCCCAAGGCGACGAUCCCUAGCUGGUCUGAGAGGAUGACCAGCCACACGGGAACUGAGACACGGUCCAGAGUCCCACGGUAGGCAGCAGUGGGGAAUAUUGGACAAUUGGCGAAAGCCUGAUGCAGCCAUGCCGCGUGUAUGAAUAAGGCCUUCGGGUUUUAAAGUUCUUUCAGCGGGGAGGCGGUACCCGGAGAAGAAGCACCGGCUAACUCCGUGCCAGCAGCCGCGGUAAUAC